GAAUUCACAGCUAUAUUCUCUUCUUGUUGAGUGAUCCUAGGAAGCAGGAGAGGGCUUUACUGUCAAACCCAAGCCAUAUGUCAGGCAGCUUGCAAAAGCAGCUGCACCCACAAUUGUUCCUUGAGAUUACAUGAUGCUCCGCUUGACCAUCGUGGAGUUGUACAUACUAGAUGAAUGCAGUUUAAACGUGCAUGUGAGCAGGCAAGGAAAAGCUAUGGUAAUCGUCUCUGUAACUGAAAUCCACAGAGAAUUCUUGAUUUUAUUAAUG
rnacentral:lncRNA from 7 species